CACGUAGGGGGCAAGCGUUGUCCGGAUUCAUUGGGCGUAAAGAGCUCGUAGGCGGUUCGAUAAGUCGGGUGUGAAACCUCCAGGCUCAACCUGGAGACGCCACCCGAUACUGUCGUGACUAGAGUCCAGUAGGGGAGCGUGGAAUUCCUGGUGUAGCGGUGAAAUGCGCAGAUAUCAGGAGGAACACCAGCGGCGAAGGCGGCGCUCUGGGCUGGAACUGACGCUGAGGAGCGAAAGCGUGGGGAGCGAACCGG
rnacentral:rRNA from 1 species